ACACUGUUGGCUUUCUUAGCGGUGUAUAGUAAACAGACACGCAGAUCUGCAUUCAACAUGGUUUAUGAAACAUCAUCUUUGGAAAUAAAUAAAUAAAGGCAUCAUUGGAGGUUAUGCAGGUACAUAUGAGUGGAGGUUUACAUGGAGACAAGAAACACUGCAUUGUCACAAUCUCGGUAAAGAAAGAAGCAGAUUUUAUUACCGUCUCUUCAGUGCAACAUCACAGCAACAAGUGAAUGAUUUUCUUACUCUUUUACUAUAAAUACUGAUGUUAGAAAAUUAUCCGACAUUGGCACAUAAUUCUGCUGUACAUCCUGUGGUUGUGUGAAAGUUAAUAAGCCCAUAUCACUAGAUUCUGGUAUUAUAACCUUCUAGUAAUUUACAUUGCGGUCAAUGCCAGCGGAACAUUUUCACAUUCACCGGAAAUGCAGCCUCUGCUUACUUCCGCGUUGCAAAAUAAGGUGGAUACUUUAUAUGAUGAUCUCAGAGAUGGGUGUGUUAAUGUGUGUUAGAAAAUCAAACAUGAAAUAGACACAAAAAUAUAUUUUUUAUGAGUUUAUAACUUUGGUAAUAGUGACAGUUUACAAAAGCACAUUGACUAUUGAACUUAUUUUGAAAAAAUCAGAAAAUAAGUUUAUUAACAGACAGACACAAUAUCAGAAUAAUAGGGUGAAUUAGGGUAAUCUGGUACCCAGAUUACCGGAUUCACCCUAUGAGAAAUAGGAUGUUGUCACUGUAUUAUGGCAAUUAUGACAAUUUUACAUUUUCCUCUAACAAGUUUAAAAAAAUCCUAACAUCCACUCUUGAUUUGGGGAAACUACAGAAAAGUAAAAAAGAAACUUUAUAUCAUUAAAGAAGUUUAUAAAUAAUGAAAUUAGCUCUGCUGUAGAAUUUAGCUUACAGUAUAUAGACAAAAUCACAUAAUGGAAAUAGUUUUCCGAACAUAGGUUUGUAAAGAAAUUAUUACUGCGAACAUCUGUGAUGUUUACCAUCGAUUUGCACAGGAUAAAAGAUGUCUGCAUAAAUCGCAGAGAUGGGUGUGUAUACUGAAUUUAUAUACUGCUGUUAUGCGUAACUGACCGUCAGAAAAUGUAUUUAGCUGUGCUGAUUAUUUAUGAAGGGAAAACAUGAUCAUAUAUUGUAUCUGGGAUUAUUGGAAGAAAUUGAUUGGAAUAUCUGUCUAAAAAAAAAAAAAACAGAA